GUUUUCUUUCCCCAUCCAAACAUAGUGCAAGUAAUGAGGCCUUGGGGUGUUCUAACUGUGGGCCAGACCGAAGUCCUUCGAAAUAGGCUCAAGGAAGCUUCCUCCCGUUUGGUUGGCGAGAAAAACUUCUGUGAAAAGGAGGGAGAAUGAAAAUUCUGAAUUUCAGGCUUGUAACUACUUCCUUUUCAAAAUUUCGAGCUUAACAUGAUAAUGCAAGCGAAACAAGCAUCAGGUGAUUACUGAAGAGGUGCUCUAAAACACUGAUGAUUAGCAGUUAUUGGCUUUGAACUUUUUGAGCUCUGGGAUGCAGACAUUCGUUCCUUCCGCACACGGAGAUCAUCCAACAGUUUCUGUGCAAAAUCUGAUCUUUUCACCAUGUUUCUUCUCAGGUGGAUCCAAGUUCCAAAGCACUUCAACCAAAAAAAUGGAAUCAUGCAAAGUGAAAAUUCUCCGUCUCUGCAAAAUUGCUUUUCGAUGUGCAAAUUCUGUGCGUGUCGGUGGAGCCAUGGAUGCUACGCUAUGGAGUCUGGAGGAUAAGCAUCUGGAGUGGGUGGAGAAGGGUUUUCGAGUGAUCAUAAUCAAAAGAAAAAGAAGCGUCACAACUCAGAAGACAAAACCGUAAGUGGUAAUUCCAUCCCGUUCCGUUAUUCCACCUGAAUUGAUAGAACAGUUGGACAGUCGUAGCAAUCCAUAAAGCUACACCUACAAUGGUUGAGAGGUUAAAAAAUUGUUUUGAAAUUAUUUUUUGAAAAAUUAUUUUUAAAUAUUUCUGAAAAGAUCAUUUUAAAAAAUAUAUAUUUAGUUAUUUUGAAAUUUUAAUUUUAUAAUUAAAAUAUAUUAAAAUUAUUUUUUUUAAAUAUCCAGAAUAUCCUUAUCCUAUUUUAUGAUUGAUGAGAAACUAAUUCAUUCGAGUUAAGCUCUCCCAUAAAUAAAUAGUGACUUAACUACUCAAAUUUGAGUUUAAGUAUGAAAAAGAAAUCAAAAUAUAUUAAAUGUAGUAAAAAUUUAAAGAUUUCUAACAAAUAUUUUUGAAAUAUUAUUUUUAUUAAUGGCAACUCCAAAAAUAAUUUCAAAUGGAUGUCAUAUAUUUACAUAUGAACCAAGAGAAAAUUAAGUAACGACUUAGUAUGCAUAAUUGUAUAAGGUUUAGUUUUUUCAAAUCAACUUUAGCAUUAUAACGGUGCUAUUUCAAUUUUAAUUUAUAUUACAAAACCCUCCCAAUGGAUAAAUUUCAAUAACUGUCUCUGAACUUAU